rnacentral:rRNA from 1 species
GACGAACGCUGGCGGCGUGCUUAACACAUGCAAGUCGAACGGAAAGGCUCCAGCUUGCUGGAGUGCUCGAGUGGCGAACGGGUGAGUAACACGUGGGCAAUCUGCCCUGCACUCUGGGAUAAGCCUGGGAAACUGGGUCUAAUACCGGAUAGGACCUUUCUCCUCAUGGGGUUUGGUGGAAAGUUUUUCGGUGCAGGAUGAGCCCGCGGCCUAUCAGCUUGUUGGUGGGGUAAUGGCCUACCAAGGCGACGACGGGUAGCCGGCCUGAGAGGGUGAUCGGCCACAUUGGGACUGCGCUACGGCCCAGACUCCUACGGGAGGCAGCAGUGGGGAAUAUUGCACAAUGGGCGAAAGCCUGAUGCAGCGACGCCGCGUGAGGGAUGACGGCCUUCGGGUUGUAAACCUCUUUCAGUAGGGACGAAGCGCAAGUGACGGUACCUGCAGAAGAAGCACCGGCUAACUACGUG